rnacentral:lncRNA from 1 species
UGGUAUUACAAAUAUUGGAACUCCACAGCACUCCAAGCCACAAAUCCUAAAAUGUAUCAAAAGAAUAAAGAAACACUUUGCAAAAAACAAAUAUCAAUGUGUCUGCUAUUCUGCCCUUUAUACACAAUCAUCAGAGCCCAUUCUCUGCUUCUCCAACUCAAAAAUCUUCGUCGUCAAUGACCAAAUUGCCAGGAGAUAAAGAUACCCUUGUUCCUUCUCUCCCUGAGUUUGAGCUCUAUUUCAUUUUCAUACAACCUUUUCUACACUGAAGCCACAUAAUGCUUCCUAUUUCUUAUGCUUACUCGCAGUCCAACCCGCACACUUCUAGAACAAGUCCACCUCUUGCCGUGAAUGGGUUGACUCGAACCCACAAUAAGGAAAAGAUAGAUGCCAGAAGGAUAGACCAGACAACAAUGAUGGUUGGAACUUUAUUUUGUCUGCCCAUCACACCUUUGAGGAAGGGAUAUAGAUGAACAAUGACCCAUAAGGCGAAGAAAAGCCUACCGAAUAGAGGACCCCAAGAAUCAUAACCGUUGUUGAUUGCAUCCGAAAUUCCAACUAUAACUCCAAUANNNNNNNNNNNNNNNNNNNNNNNNNUUUUUAUGUUCGGUUGGUAUUACAAAUAUUGGAACUCCACAGCACUCCAAGCCACAAAAUCCUAAAAUGUAUCAAAAGAAUAAAGAAACNCUUUGCAAAAAACAAAUAUCAAUGUGUCUGCUAUUCUGCCCCUUUAUACACAAUCAUCAGAGCCCAUUCUCUGCUUCUCCAACUCAAAAAUCUUCGUCGUCAAUGACCAAAUUGCCAGGAGAUAAAGAUACCCUUGUUCCUUCUCUCCCUGAGUUUGAGCUCUAUUUCAUUUUCAUACAACCUUUUCUACACUGAAGCCACAUAAUGCUUCCUAUUUCUUAUGCUUACUCGC